rnacentral:rRNA from 1 species
UACGGAGGGUGCAGACGUUGCUCGGAAUCAUUGGGCGUAAAGCGCACGUAGGCGGCCGUGUAAGUCGGAUGUGAAAGCCCUGGGCUCAACCCAGGAAGUGCAUUCGAAACUGCACGGCUUGAAUAUGGAAGAGGGUCGCGGAAUUCCCGGUGUAGAGGUGAAAUUCGUAGAUAUCGGGAGGAACACCAGUGGCGAAGGCGGCGACCUGGGCCAAUAUUGACGCUGAGGUGCGAAAGCGUGGGGAGCAAACAGG